AUUGAACGCUGGCGGCAUGCUUUACACAUGCAAGUCGAACGGUAACAGGCCUUCGGGUGCUGACGAGUGGCGAACGGGUGAGUAAUGCAUCGGAACGUGCCCAGAGGUGGGGGAUAACGCAGCGAAAGCUGUGCUAAUACCGCAUGUGAUCUGAGGAUGAAAGCGGGGGACCAGGCAGCAAUGUUUGGCCUCGCGCCUUUGGAGCGGCCGAUGUCAGAUUAGGUAGUUGGUGGGGUAAAGGCCUACCAAGCCGACGAUCUGUAGCUGGUCUGAGAGGACGACCGGCCACACUGGGACUGAGACACGGCCCAGACUCCUACGGGAGGCAGCAGUGGGGAAUUGUGGACAAUGGGCGCAAGCCUGAUCCAGCAAUGCCGCGUGCGGGAAGAAGGCCUUCGGGUUGUAAACCGCUUUUGUACGGAACGAAAAGGCUCUGGCUAAUACCUGGGGCUGAUGACGGUACCGUAAGAAUAAGCACCGGCUAACUACGUG
rnacentral:rRNA from 1 species